GUGUCAGCAGCCGCGGUAAUACGGAGGGGGCUAGCGUUGUUCGGAAUUACUGGGCGUAAAGCGCACGUAGGCGGACCUGAAAGUCAGAGGUGAAAGCCCGGGGCUCAACCCCGGAACGGCCUUUGAAACUCCUGGUCUUGAGGUCGAGAGAGGUGAGUGGAAUUCCGAGUGUAGAGGUGAAAUUCGUAGAUAUUCGGAGGAACACCAGUGGCGAAGGCGGCUCACUGGCUCGAUACUGACGCUGAGGUGCGAAAGCGUGGGGAGCAAACAGGAUUAGAAACCCUUGUAGUCC
rnacentral:rRNA from 1 species